rnacentral:sRNA from 1 species
AUGUACCGCCUGUACAUUGCGGUUCCUGCGCGCCGCGCGUAUCCGUCUGACAGCCGCUCGCUACGUUUGCUGAGAGCC